UACGGAGGAUGCAAGCGUUAUCCGGAAUUAUUGGGCGUAAAGCGUCCGCAGGUGGUUUUACAAGUCUGCUGUCAAAGCGCGGAGCUUAACUUCGUAUCGGCAGUGGAAACUGUGGAACUAGAGUUUGGUAGGGGUCACGGGAAUUCCCAGUGUAGCGGUGAAAUGCGUAGAUAUUGGGAAGAACACCAGCGGCGAAAGCGCGUGACUGGGCCUGAACUGACACUCAUGGACGAAAGCUAGGGGAGCGAAAGGG
rnacentral:rRNA from 1 species